GAUGAAGAACGUAGCGAAAUGCGAUAAGUAAUGUGAAUUGCAGAAUUCAGUGAAUCAUCGAAUCUUUGAACGCACCUUGCACCCUUUGAACUGCUCCAAAGGGUAUGCUCGUUUGAGUGUCAUUGUACUCUCACACUCUCUGAUCCUUUGGAUUUGGGGAGCAGUGGACUUGGGUGCUUGCUGCUUCCUUGUGGCUCACCUGAAAUGCAUCAGUGCAUCUCUCGAUUGGACAUAGUACGGCGUGAUAAGUGUCUUCGCCGGCACCUCAUAUGAGGGUGGCCGAUCGGGAGCUCUGUGCUUUCAAACCGUCUUCGGACAACGCUGACAACUUGACCUCAAAUCGAGUAGGACUACCCGCUGAACUUAAGCAUAUCAAUAAGCGGAGGA
rnacentral:misc_RNA from 1 species